rfam:Bombyx mori DNA, contig: Bm_scaf103_contig36460, strain: p50T/Dazao, build 2, whole genome shotgun sequence.
UUAACUCAAAUUUGUAUGGAGUUGGAACGUUUGCCUACGUUUACCACUAGGGGCUCUAUGUCAACUGCAUACAAAUUUGACUUA